CUCAGUGAUGGAAUUAUCAGUCUCCCCACCAACAAAUCUAUUCAUUGCCAUAUUUGUAAGGAUGUGGUAUUCUUUAUCGAUCUACACCAAGUAUCUGCAACAAGUUACAGACGAACAAGUAUAUGUAGAGUGAGUACAAUUCUACACAUCAACAACAUACUUUACACAUAAAUAUACAUAUAAGUUCAUUGGCACAGGUGCCACCGCAUAUAUAAAUAACAAGUUUUAUGUAUACAAAGAGACACCAAUAUAUUGAAUUUUUACAGUUAACAUUUAAAAAUUAUUCAAACCUCUUCCAAUUUCUUCCAAAGGUCCUUGUCUUGAUAGCAAUAAAGAACAUAUCUGAAUUAUUUUCUGACAACCUCCAUGGUUUAUGCAUCUGUCGUCAUAGUUAUCAUACUUACAUCUCCAAAUUGGAGUUUAGAAUCAAGUAAAUGACC
rnacentral:lncRNA from 1 species